rnacentral:rRNA from 1 species
GCAGCAGCCACGGUAAUACGUAGGUGGCAAGCGUUGUCCGGAAUUAUUGGGCGUAAAGGGCUCGCAAGCGGUUUCUUAAGUCUGAUGUGAAAGCCCCCGGCUCAACCGGGGAGGGUCAUUGGAAACUGGGAAACUUGAGUGCAGAAGAGGAGAGUGGAAUUCCACGUGUAGCGGUGAAAUGCGUAGAGAUGUGGAGGAACACCAGUGGCGAAGGCGACUCUCUGGUCUGUAACUGACGCUGAGGAGCGAAAGCGUGGGGAGCGAACAGGAUUAGAUACCCCAGUAGUCCCUGUCUCUUAUAC